UUUACUUGUAACAAAAUUUCCCCCAAAUUUCGAGUACUCUCAAAACUAUCGUCACCUGGAAGUAGACGAGAACGGGGAAAAGGCGAAGCCUACACUACCGAUUCAUAUGGUGUUCACUUGAACUCCACAAGAAAGAGACAUGUGAGGCAGUGACAAUCAUUGAAACACCCCCAAUGGUGGUUGUUGGGGUAUGUCAAGACCCCACGUGGGCUCCGCAGCUCGAACACAGUGUGGGCCCAGCAUCUGAGUGAAGACAUCAAGAGGAGAUUUUAUAAAAGCAUCUGAGUGCAAAUCAAAAAAAGAAAGCUUUUACAAAUUAUUCAAAGAAAGAUGAAACUGAAACAGGAAAGAGAGACAUCCAGUCACAGCUGGAGAAGAUGAAGAAGUACUGCAAUGUCAUCCGUGUUCUUGCUCACACUCAGAGGGGAAAAUGGUGUGAGGCUGGAUCCUUCAAUCUUUUGCAAUGGUGGGGUACUUCAGGAGACCGUGGCAAGACGAAUGCGUGAUCGUACUGCUCCUCAUGUUUUAUGACUUAUGUGAUAUGGGUUUUGGAAAUACUCUGAUUAAACUAUUUUGAAAACAAAUGUAUGAACUUAAUGGUUUUGAAUGAAUUAAAAUGUUUUAAUUUGGCUCGAA